UAAUAGCUCAGUCAGUAAAGCAUGAGACGCUCAAUCUCAGGGUUGCAGAUUCAAGUUCUACAUUGAGCAAAA